rnacentral:rRNA from 1 species
GACGAACGCUGGCGGCGUGCUCAACACAUGCAAGUCGAACGGAAAGGCCCUGCUUUUGUGGGGUGCUCGAGUGGCGAACGGGUGAGUAACACGUGAGUAACCUGCCCUUGACUUUGGGAUAACUUCAGGCAACUGGGGCUAAUACCGGAUAGGAGCUCCUGCUGCAUGGUGGGGGUUGGAAAGUUUCGGCGGUUGGGGAUGGACUCGCGGCUUAUCAGCUUGUUGGUGGGGUAGUGGCUUACCAAGGCUUUGACGGGUAGCCGGCCUGAGAGGGUGACCGGCCACAUUGGGACUGAGAUACGGCCCAGACUCCUACGGGAGGCAGCAGUGGGGAAUAUUGCACAAUGGGCGGAAGCCUGAGGCAGCAACGCCGCGUGCGGGAUGACGGCCUUCGGGUUGUAAACCGCUUUCGCCUGUGACGAAGCGUGAGUGACGGUAAUGGGUAAAGAAGCACCGGCUAACUACGUG